AGAGCUGAGGACCUGUCCCCUCCUGGAGGGUGGCCCCAAGCGUCUUCACAGCCCUGGUGCUAACUCCUGUCUCUGUCCCCAGGCCAUGGUCCAGCCAGCAGCUCCGCAUCCCCGGACUCCCUGCCCAGCCCCACCACAGCCAUUCCUAUCUACCAGGAAUUACGACACCCCGACACAAACAUUUACUGCCAGAUCGACCACAAAGCAGAAAUGGCUUCUUAGUUUCCCCUGGGAACUGCUCCUUCCAGGGCCCUCCUGAGACCCCAGACUCUAGGUGGAGUCAGGAGCUGCAGCCUGAGCCGGAGAACCGGCUCUCCCCUCUGAAGAUAUUCAGGGACAUGGACCCAGGGUCGGGUCCCAACUGAUUUCUGGAGACCCCUACAGGCUGCCCUGAACCCAGAACAAAGGCCCCCAUUUCCCAGGAAGUGGGGGUUCCCAGGAAAAGUGUCCUGACCCCUGACCCACUGGGGAUGAUCUGAGAGGAUCUGAAUAAAAAGGACUCUUCCCCUCCUU